ACCCUUUCAUUAAGCUUUCUAUUAUUUGUGACUCUCUCUCAACAUUCUCGUUCACUCUUAGGUUUCUCUAGAUGCUUGAUUGGGUGUCUCUAUCAUUCCUUAUCUUGCCCUUUUUUCAGGCUUCAUCUUAAAACCCAAUUCAAAUCCCCGAAAGCAUAAAAUCAUCCUCACCAUCCUUGAAUUCCAUCUUCCCCCUCAACUCACCUCAAAACCGAUCCUUCCCCUCUUUAAUUCCCUUAUUUGUUUUAUCUUUGGAGCAAUGAAUGCUUCCUCGCGCCGUUAUGCUCAUCGUUGGGUCAUCCUGAUCAAGGUUAAAAGCCUUAAAGUCCUCAUCUGAAAAGGUUAUGAGAGGCAUAGUCCUUUGAUGUGCUUUCUGCACGUUAAUUCUAAAGACUCGCCUCCAUCGAACUGCCCUGAUAUUGUGUUGAUAUGCCUUUUAAGUUGAUGGUUGCUGCUUCUAAUUUGUCUCCUAAACCUAGAGGGCUUUUUAUGACGCUUGGUUAUUGACUCGCGUCGCAAAAUUUUGAAGUUGUGCCUGCGAGGCGGGUUCCUCUCCUCUCGCUUAGUCUUGAUGUAUUUAUGUAGGUAACCUGCUCGGAUCAAAUCUUUUAUCUUGUCGCGUAAAGUGAUGCAUUCCUUUAUGGUGUGCCUUAUAUUCUUAUGAAAUAGGCAAUGCUUAUUGCCAUCAACAUUUCGAGGAGUAGGCUUCUUCUUGGGAGGAGGAAACAACUCGACAUUCAAAACUGCUUCAAGGAUCCUUGCCUGGGAUGCACUAGGAAGAGUAUACUGAUAAAAUUGUUUCCCUUUAGGUAACUCCUUGGAACAAGUAUCACUCCUUUCCUAUGUAGUUUUUUUAUCUGCCUUCUUAUAAGAAGGUAAGGCUUCUUGUCUCAUCUAUCUUUAGAAGUCUCACCUUUCUUCCACCUGUAUAAAUUGAGCGGCUAUCUGCCUGAACUUUUCCAUGUCUUUAGUUGGCUU
rnacentral:lncRNA from 1 species